CUUCUUAUAAUAGAGAUUUAAUCCAUGAAAUUUUAACUCCUUAUUGCUGUUAUCUUUUUGCAGGGAUAAUUUUCGAGUGAAUGAAUGGGAAAUAGGAAAACUGAAUCUGAAAGGUGUUCUGAGACAGUGGGAGUUUAAAAUUGCAGUUUUUAGAAGAAUAUGCACAACAUACAAAUUUGAGUGCUUAGUCAUGUAAAUUCAUAUCUUCUAGAUACAUUUAUAACCAUCUUCCUGGUCCAUCCACCCUUAUAUUGUCUUAAUCUGCUAAUUCUCUAUUAGAAUACUACUUUCUUGCAUAUGCCACACGAAGCGAAGAA
rnacentral:lncRNA from 1 species